UGAGAUGCAGUUGUGCCUGAUAGG
rnacentral:piRNA from 2 species